rnacentral:rRNA from 1 species
GACGAACGCUGGCGGCGUGCUUAACACAUGCAAGUCGAACGCUGAAGACCUGGCUUUUGUUGGGUUGGAUGAGUGGCGAACGGGUGAGUAACACGUGAGUAACCUGCCCUCUUCUUUGGGAUAACGCCCGGAAACGGGUGCUAAUACUGGAUAUUCACUGGCCUUCGCAUGGGGGUUGGUGGAAAGGUUUGUUCUGGUGGGGGAUGGGCUCGCGGCCUAUCAGCUUGUUGGUGGGGUGAUGGCCUACCAAGGCUUUGACCGGUAGCCGGCCUGGGAGGGUGACCGGUCACAUUGGGACUGGGAUACGGCCCAGACUCAUGCGGGAGGCAGCAGUGGGGAAUAUUGCACAAUGGGCGAAAGCCUGAUGCAGCGACGCCGCGUGAGGGAUGCAGGCCUUCGGGUUGUAAACCUCUUUCGCUCAUGGUCAAGCCGCAACUGUGGGUUGUGGUGAGGGUAGUGGGUAAAGAAGCGCCGGCUAACUACGUG